AGGAAGGAGUUCCAGAUACGAUUGCCACUCUGCGGGAGGCUGGGAUCCAGCUCUGGGUCCUGACUGGAGAUAAGCAGGAGACAGCGGUCAACAUUGCCCAUUCCUGCAGACUGUUAAAUCAGACCGACACUGUUUAUACCAUCAAUACAGAGAAUCAGGGGGAAGUAUCUGUUUUCACAAUUCAAAUUGCAGAAGGUAAAGUUCCACCACAUCUUCUUGGCUGAUGAAGAUGGGAAGUGGGCACUGAGAUGUGUGCUCCUAUCAAUCAGAAGGAAGCAGGGGUUGGAUUCCAUGGAGGAUAUUAACCAGAAGAGCACUCUACUGCAGGGGUGUGGGCGUAGGGCCCGUAGGGCACCUACAC
rnacentral:sRNA from 1 species